ensembl:lncRNA
AUCAAGUACUUACAUGGGGAAGCUGUCCAGAUGGAGGGGAGCAGGUGCAAAGGGCCCGAGACAGAAGCCGCUGGGGCCUUUGGGGCAGGCAGGAAGGCCAGGUGGCCAGAGCCAAGGGCAGUGAGGAAGUCAGGCGCCACUGGGCAGCAGCGCGCUCCCUGUGCUAGGUGGCGGAGAGGGCCUGCGGCCGGGCGGUGCCCUGGAGCUGACAGGCUUGCUGCUGGGCUGCAUGUGGCUGCCAGAGGAAACCGGAAAGAGCUGCCGGGACUGGGCCCGGUCCCAGUUAGAUGGUGAGAUGGAGGUCGGGAGCCUGAUGAAGCGCCAGGCCGCGCACGCGCACGCGGUGGGGCGCUUGUGGCCAGGAGAGGGUGUGACGUUAUGAGAGGCGGCAGGAACAAAGAACAAGAACCGCUGGCUGGCUCGUGUAAAUACCGGCAACUUCCGAGGCUCUUGUGCUCGGUCUACUGCGACAUCGACAUCGCGGGCCAGGGAGGAAGGGGGCCUGGCAGCCUCGCGGGGUCGGGCCCUGGGCUUCUCCCAGCACAGCGCCGGAACCCUGGCUCCUGCGGUCACGCGACGCCAAGAAUAUCAGGGAGGACAGGGACCAUGAGUCAGGAAAACCAAGCCAGAAACAUGAAAGGAAGUGUGUGGCCCAGCACGGGACUCAGAAUGACCCAGAAAACCCGCCAAGCUCUGAGCCCCAUGACGGACGCUCCCUCCCUGCCUCCCUCACCCGCGACCUGUCGCCCAGGUAUCCUAGGCAGAGCCGGCACCCAGCCCGGCGCUCAGGGGCUCAGGGCCAGGGCCAGGGCCAGGGCCAGGGCCGCAGCCUCCCUCCGUCUUCCUCCAGGGCCUCGGAGGCCCGGCUCACCCUCCAGCCCCGCCCUGCCCAGCCCAGCUCUCCAGGAGGAGAAUUAGACCUGGCCUGCCUCGGGCUCCGCGCCUCCCACCCGGGCCCUCCCUGCAGAGAGCGUGGCAUCUGCGUGGCAGCCUUUUAUCCGCCACCUCUGAGCUCCGCUUACUGGGGAUCAAACUCAGGACCUUGCACUUGGGAGGCAGGCCUACCAUCACACUGUGUAUGUGGCUCCCACCUUUUCUCCCUGAGCCACAGUCCUUGGAAGUCAUCCUGGAAUAAAUACAGAUAGUCCUUCUCUGCAACCCGUGCGGGGAUGGGUCAGCUGAGCCGCCUGGAGAGGAAGCCCCGCGGCACGGAUUCCGAUCGGAUCCGGAGAGGGGAGGCCCAGCGGGCCGGGUCGCCUUCAGGUCCUGGGUGGGGCGGGGACAGGGCGCCCUGUCAACCCAGGGGCCCUUCUGCAAGGCGGUCUGAACGCCUUAGGCUCAGCCUCCUGUGUGUCCUGUUUUCCUUCUGGCUCAGCAGGCUGAAACCGAGAGGAGAAUGGACACUGGGCCCGGCAGCCCGCACCGGAGAGAAGCGACUCGGCCAGAGGCAGGCGCGGAAGGACUGGACAUGCGCGCGCGUGGAGGCGUCGUGGACCCUCUCUCCACCGUCCUGGUCCACACAGGGGCUACCUGUUCGGCCUGACCCGGAGGGCCCCCUGCGACCGGGCACUCGGAGCCGGCGACGCGCAGCACCCAGAGCUAGACCUCAGUGGGAGAAGCGCCCAGCUCCACCGCGGCCCAGCAUGAGCCACGCCCAGCGCGCAGGCCCCGCCCCGGCCCUCGAUCCCCGCCCCGAGCCCCACCCCCGGACCCGCGAGCCCCGCCCCUGGCCCACGAGUUCCGCCCCAGGCGCGGCUGAGGCCCGAGGAGCCACCGGCGAGCGUGAUGCGCAGCUGAGGGCUGGGAGCUUUCGGCGUCGGCGGGCUUGUCCGCAUCCCCAGUAUCCCGCGGGUCGAAGGCCGGCGUCAGCGUCUUUACAGCCUCUAAAGGAUGAGGUCUGGGUGAGCCGUGGCCGCGUGCAGGGUCCCUGGGGCCGUGGGAGGAAGGUGAGGCACGGCCUGAGUCGGCGGCCUGCUUCUGAGCUCCCUGCCGCGCCCCAGGCCGGGCGGGUCCAGCUCCCCGCGGUCCAGGCGCUGCACCAGGGCCCUGGCGUCGCUGUGUGCUGUUCUUGGGCGCAGAGGGGCCGCCCCACGGUGGAGGUGGGGUCGCUGCAGCCCCCAAAGGUAGAUCAGCUUUUCUUCCCCGUGUCCCGUGGCCCUGACCCCCACACCUAACGGAAGCCGGCGUCGGGAUAAUGCGAGGUCGGUCGAGGCUCAGACUUUCUGAGCUCAGGUAAGUUUCCAAAGUGAGCCUCAAACUUGAGAGGGGAAGGGAGUUGGGGUGCGGAGGGAAGGCUGCGCGGCUCCUGCAGGCCCCGCUCCCGCACGCCCGUAGGAUCCCGACGGAGGGUCAGGGUACGAAGGCCGGACGAGCCGUCCCCCUUUCACUCGGCCGAGCAGCUGUGGCUCCGGUCUCUCUUGCAGCUUUAGGCAUGGGGACCGCAUUCCACCUUCGGAUUUGUAUCGGAUUUCCAUCGUUGCUUUGAUGUUACUGUUCCCUUCGUGGAUAGAGGACUGGGAGAAAUGGAGGAGGUGGGGAUGUGAGAUGCUGAGUGUCAGGCUCGUGGAGCGCCUAGGAUCGUGGCAGGCGGGCCUGACUCACCUCAGUGCUUGUUCAGAAGCGGGGUGCGGUGGGCCCGAGUCGGAAACCGCGGGGAGACAGGUGUGGUGAGCGCCUUCGUCCACCAGGGGCGCCUCGGCCAAGGCGGCGGGAGGAGCCCGGUCCCCGGGUUUGGCCCAGGAACGUGCCCGCCAUCCCGUGGUCUCCACCCCACGCCCGUCUCCAGGCGCACGGUCCGCUCGCCCUCAGCCACCACUCGGCGCCACCUGCAGCUCCUGGUGGGCCCCCAGCUCCCGGUCCGAGCAGGCUCCGCCUGCGGGAAGCGCGGCGCCGGACGCUUUCUCAGCCAAGGACGCCGGGACAGGCGCGAGCGGAAUCGAGGGCUAGCGGUUUGGUGACCCUCGCUUGGUUGUUCCGGAGCCUUUGAGGGAGAGGGCAGCACAGAGGAGACGGCGAGGGGCACCGGGCACCAGGGCUCCUCCAGCGCCCGAGACUAACCUGUGGCAGUGUCACGUGGCCGGGGACACAUACCUCUCCUUCCUGAGGUUCCAGGGCCUCACGAUCCACACCAGAUGCCCACAUAGUGAGCCAGAGUCCUGUGCUGCCAGAGCCAUCUUUGAUGACUUCCACAUGACCCUGGGACUCCACCUUUCGGCUGUCCUGACCCCGCAGGGAGGGGUUGGCCAGAGAGCUAGCUGCACCUGGUACCCGCGAGUCUGAGUUCGGAUGAGCUACAUUGCAGGGCCCAGGGGCACGUGUGGCUUGGGCAGCACACAUCUAGCCCCUUGUUCACCUAACAAGCAAGGAAGAAAUCCUGAGACUGCUCGCUCCUGUGUGUGGCUCACAAUCCCACCCUUCUUCCUGUGGAAGAGGACUUAGGGGCAGGACAAGCGCCAUGGGGCAGAAGCUCAGUGCCCCUUCUCUCCUUCCAAAGCUGGGGAGAGUGGCCUGGAUUUCCCAUCAGGGCACUGGUCUGGGUGGAAAGCUGUAGUUUGCAGCCCCAGAUGGGGGGUUUCCUCCAGGCCCCUGUGCCUCCCAGCAGAGCCUUCGGCUCCUGGAGGGCAUGCAAUGGCCCAGUGGUCAGUAGAGGCAGGAUCACAGGCAGCUUCCUGAGAGCCAGUAGCCCAGCCUGGGGUACACACAUGGGGGAUCAGCAACCCUCAUACGAGGGCUCUGAAACUUAAAGCCAGAGGAGGCAUUGGCUGGGCUCUUCACCUACUAGGCCCUUUAGUCAUCUGCUGAUGGAGCAACCACCCUCAGGAGAGAGAACUGUGGGGAUGACAGGACCUGCAGCCUAAAGGACGCCCUGCCAGCCCUCUGUUCUCAUUCCUUGGGCUUUAACAGGGCCAGGUGGGAAUUGGGGAUUAUGCCUGCGUGUGUGAGUGUGUGUGUGUGAGAGAGAGAGGAGACAGAACAGACCAUGCUAUCUCCCCACUCCUAAACCUGCCCUGUUCUGGAGUAGAGGGACAAGGAUCUCUCUUCCUUGAAAUUCUAAACAGCAGCUAGACUCUUUCAGCCCUGCAGUGACUGCAGAGUUCCGGGUUGGCUGAGGUUAUUCUCAAUGGGAUGAGAGACCUGGACAAAGCAGAGCAGUUACUGCUGGAAACAAAGAGCUCAAUCAGCAAAGUUAAAAGCAAAACGAAAACACUUCCAGGUUUGCGUCUGCAGUGUGAAGACCCCUGGACGAAGGGGCGAGGUCUGGGGCGUUGCCAGGUCCUCCUCCCACAGGCAUGGGAGGUGCUUGUACAUGAGGGGUAUGGGACUCCAUGACAUUUCCAGAUAGUUCUGGAAGACUCUGUGAGCUGUCUUCGUGCCCAGCGCUGCUGUGAAGGGAGCCCUUACAGAUGCCAACCCUGCUUCCUAGCUGUAAACCUAGACAAGUUUUUGAAAAAUAUCUGCUGGACAUAGAAAGUACCGGUCAUUCAUUUGUGCUCUUGCUGAUUUCUGUUUCCUCAAGAGGUUUCCCCCAAAUGUCAUUGACUUUCAGUGAAGGAAGAGCCCCUUGCCCUGCAACACACCGCCAGGCCCAGGGAGGUGGAGCCUGCUUCCUCCAACAGCACUGUCUGACAGCCCCUCCCUGGGCCCCAACAGCACUAGAAGCACAAGUCCAGGAUCCCUGCUGUGGAUUUUUUUUUAGUUUUUUUUUUUGAGUCAAGGAGGCAAAAAAGUAACACACAAUGAAGACAAAAGGAAGAAAUGCCUGAAAAGGGACAUAGUGAUGCUUGGACAGUGCUCACCAGGGCCUGGCAUCAGAAGGGCCCGGCGGUUAUUACUGGCACAGAUGAGUUUCACUUCAGUUUCUUGGGGUGACAGGGAGAGAAGCCGCUAGAGGUACAUGAAUAGAGAAGGCGACAGCCCGGCUGCUUCCUUACCUCUGCAUUUCUUCAGGCUCUCUGUGAUGGCAUCAUGCCUUGAUUUCCUUUCCUUGAGUUUCUUCUCCAGAUCUGGAGGAAUCAACUCUGAGUCAAGGAAUUGAAACCCUUGACUCUUACAAAGACACAGCUGAGCUGGGGCUGAGGGGAAGGGAGGACAUGGAUGUGGACAGUGACAUGGAAAGGGGGGCGCGUGUGUGGGUGAACUGGGAAUGAGAGGCCAGAGCUAGGGAAAUGGGGCCAGGGAAGAGGAGACAUGGAAGUGAAAGUUAGAACAGCUGGAGAGAUGGAGGAAAGAGAGAGCAGGUGUCAGACCCCCCCCCCAGGUGGAAGAGAAAACUUGCCAGACAAUGCAGUUACACAUCCUGCAAGAUGCAAAGGAUAACAGGAAGCUAAGUUGGGUUCGAGAAAAGCAGCUUGACCCAUGCAGCAACAUCUGCGGGCCUAGAUACCCCUGGAGACCACCAGACGCCCUCCACCCUAGAUCAAAAGACUUCCUCCACUCCAGGACAAAAAUUUCCACUCCUCCUGGCAGCACCCCUCCCCUACCCAAAGUCCCCUAUAAAAAAGUUUCCCCUCACCCAAGCCCCCAGGGUCAAUGGCUUUGUCACCCUUGACUAGCCUGCACCCAAGCUGGAAAUAAAACCUAGCUUGUUGCUUCAUUUUUGCCUGCUCUGGUGGUCUCGGGCAUGCCUCAGUUUACCCUAACAGCAGGGGAGAAGGGAGAUGGAGUAGGGAACUUGGAACCACCCAGUGAAGCAAGGGGACACACAGGAGGCGCCAGGAAAUUGAAGACUGCUGAAGAACCAGGAAGCUAGAGAAACAGCUGUUUUCUUCACCAAGUGGCCCACAUGCUAAGGUUUUUGGCUCAGGCCUUCUGCACCCACAGCCUGGUUAGUGGAUUGCGGAGUCAGAAUGUGCAGAGCAUUUGGGGGAAUGCGAAGUGUGCUGCAGCCACAAACGAAUAGGUAGGCAUAGUGUGGGACAGCCUGUCAUAACUGCACAGUAUAACCUAAUGUCCUAGAAGAGAAAGAGAUGGCACAGCCUCAGGGCUUGGCUGCAUCACAGACCCCUGGCUGGGGGUCUCCACUUCCCCACCUCGCCUCCCACCCACCCUGGAGGGGAGCUCCAGAAGCGCCCGACACCAGGUGGACAGUGAAUGGAUUAGACCGGCAGAGAAUCCAAGCAAAGAGGAGGAGAGGAAAAUAAGAUUCGGAAGAUGACAUUCAUUUCACUGAACCUGGGGAGCCUUGCAAGCAGAAUGUAUGGAAGGCUGGAGAGGCUUUACAGGGUGUUUCUUAAAAGAAAGACUCUUGACCUGGUGGGGCUGGGAUGCGUGCAGGGGAGACCAGCUCAGCUUGCUUUGUGCACCACCACACCUGUACUGUCCAAUGUGGUGGCACCAAACAUGGUACCGACACCUCAAACAUGGCUGGAGCAACGAGGAACCACGUCUUAAAGUGAGUUUUCUCUAACUCAUAAAUUAAGAACUAGCAGGUCAUGGUGGUGCAUGCCUGUAAUCCCAGCACUCGGGAGGCUGAGGCAGGAAGAUCAUUGAAAGUUUGGGGCCAGCCUGGGAUACGUAGUGAGACCCUGUCUCAAAAACAAAAAACAAACAAACUCAUAACAGAAUAUAUCACUAAUAUUUAAAAACACUUACUGAGAUAGCCCGUAGUUCAGUCUCCUGAGUGCUGGGAUUGCAAGCGUGUGCCACUACUCCCAGCAAUAUUUUAAAAAUAGUGGGUACAGGGUGAAAUUGAUGACCUUUGGAUAUAUUGAGUUACAUAAAAUAGUUUACUAAAAUUAUUUCACCACUUCCUUUCUAUCUUUUUAUUGUGGCUACCAGAAAAAAAUUUAAAUUACGUAUGUGGCUUGCAGUGUAUUUCUGAAUCACAUUAUUGUGGCUCACAUUAUAUUUUAAAUUAAACACAUGACCCAUUUCAUAUUUCUGAUUUAUACAUGUGGUCUACUUUGUAUUUCUUUCUUUUUUUCUUUUCUUUUUUUUUUUUUUUUGGUACCGGGGAUCAAACUAGGAACCUUGCACUUUCGAGGCAGGCGGCAGAACCACUGAGCUACAUCCCCGGCCCUGUACUUCAUAUUUAGGAUUUACACCGGCAGCCCACUUCUUAUUUCUGUUUCUGUUUUGGUUUGGGUUUUGGUACAG